GAUGAACGCUAGCUACAGGCUUAACACAUGCAAGUCGAGGGGAAACGACAUCGAAAGCUUGCUUUUGAUGGGCGUCGACCGGCGCACGGGUGAGUAACGCGUAUCCAACCUGCCCACCACUUGGGGAUAACCUUGCGAAAGUAAGACUAAUACCCAAUGAUAUCCCUGGAAGACAUCUGAAGGAGAUUAAAGAUUAAUCGGUGAUGGAGGGGAAUGCGCCUGAUUAGCUUGUUGGCGGGGUAACGGCCCACCAAGGCGACGAUCAGUAGGGGUUCUGAGAGGAAGGUCCCCCACAUUGGAACUGAGACACGGUCCAAACUCCUACGGGAGGCAGCAGUGAGGAAUAUUGGUCAAUGGGCGAGAGCUUGAACCAGCCAAGUAGCGUGCAGGAUGACGGCCCUAUGGGUUGUAAACUGCUUUUAUAAGGGAAUAAAGUGAGCCUCGUGAGGCUUUUUGCAUGUACCUUAUGAAUAAGGACCGGCUAAUUCCGUGCCAGCAGCCGCCGUAA
rnacentral:rRNA from 1 species